GGUCACCACCGCAGCCUGAGGAAUGCUGCCCCAGAAGCUGAGAGAGCAAAUGACUUUAAUGACAGGAAAAAAGACCACCACACAAUGAAACACAGGCAGAGAAGUUGGACCAGGUGAUCAAUGAGCGGCUUUCAGGCUUCAAGAUAAACUGCAUUAGGAGAACAGUGUGUGAAGAGGUAGAAUGGGAAAGCUCCAGG